UAGCAUACGCUUGUCUCAAAGAUUAAGCCAUGCAUGUCUAAGUAUAAACAAUUUUAUACGUGAAACUGCGAAUGGCUCAUUAUAUCAGUUAUAGUUUAUUUGAUGGUCAACUGCUACUUGGAUAACCGUAGUAAUUCUAGAGCUAAUACAUGCAGCAAUCCCCGACUUCUGGAAGGGGUGUACUUAUUAGAUGGAAACCAAUGCGGGGCAACCUGGAUUUUGGUGAUUCAUAAUAAUUUUCGGAGCGAACGUUUGUUCGCUGCAUCAUUCAAGUUU
rnacentral:rRNA from 1 species